rnacentral:rRNA from 1 species
AUUGAACGCUGGUGGCAGGCCUAACACAUGCAAGUCGAACGAGUGGCGGACGGGUGAGUAAUGUCUGGGAAACUGCCCGAUGGAGGGGGAUAACUACGGGAAACGGUAGCUAAUACCGCAUACUAUCGGAUGUGCACAGAUGGGAUUUGCUAGUAGGUGGGGUAACGGCUCACCUAGGCGACGAUCCCUAGCUGGUCUGAGAGGAUGACAAGCCACACUGGAACUGAGACACGUCACAGGCCCGUACGGGAGGCAGCAGUGGGGAAUAUUGCACAAUGCGCGCAAGCCUGAUGCAGCCAUGCCGAGUGUAUGAGAAAGGCCUUCGGGUCGUAAAGUACUUUCAGCGUGGAGGCGGUACCCGACGAAUAAGCACCGGCUAACUCCGUGCCAGCAGCCGCGGUAAUAC